GUUAAAACGCCGGUUUUUGUACAAUCGCCGAAGUUAAGUCACAUCGAACCUGGUUAGUACCCAGAUGGGUGACCGCUUGGGAAUACCAGUUGCUGUAA